GAGGUCAAGAAGCUCACGCGGGAGAGC
rnacentral:tRNA from 1 species